rnacentral:rRNA from 1 species
UACAGAGGUCUCAAGCGUUGUCCGGAAUUAUUGGGCGUAAAGCGCGCGCAGGCGGCUAUUUAAGUCUGGUGUUUAAACCUUGGGCUCAACCUGAGGUCGCACUGGAAACUGGGUGGCUUGAGUACAGAAGAGGAAAGUGGAAUUCCACGUGUAGCGGUGAAAUGCGUAGAUAUGUGGAGGAACACCAGUGGCGAAGGCGACUUUCUGGGCUGUAACUGACGCUGAGGCGCGAAAGCGUGGGGAGCAAACAGG